rnacentral:rRNA from 1 species
ACGGGGUGCAGCAGGCGCGAAAACUCCACAAUGUACGGAAGUACGAUGGGGUUAUCUCGAGUGCAGUCCGAUAAGGGCUGCUUUUCCAUAGAGUAAUAUCCUGUGGGAAUAAGAGGGGGGCAAGACUGGUGUCAGCCGCCGCGGUAACACCAGCCCCUCGAGUGGUGGGGACUAUUAUUUGGCCUAAAGCGUCCGUAGCUGGCUGUAUCCGUCUCCCGGUAAAUCCGGCGUCCUAAGCGUCGGUUCUCGGGUGAUACCAUACAGCUAGAGGGUGGGAUAGGUGAGCGGUAUUUCUGGGGUAGGGGCGAAAUCCUUUGAUCCCAGGAGGACCACCAGUGGCGAAGGCUGCUGACUAGAACACGCCUGACGGUCAGGGACGAAAGCUGGGGCAGCGAACCGGAUUAGAUACCCGGGUAGUCCCAGCUGUAAACGAUGCAGGCUAGGUGUUGGGUCGGCCACGCGCCGCCCCAGUGCCGCAGGGAAGCCGUUAAGCUAGCCGCCUGGGGAGUACGGCCGCAAGGCUGAAACUUAAAGGAAUUGGCGGGGGAGCAC